rnacentral:rRNA from 1 species
GACGAACGCUGGCGGCGUGCUUAACACAUGCAAGUCGAACGGAAAGGCCCUGCUUUUGUGGGGUGCUCGAGUGGCGAACGGGUGAAUAACACGUGAGUAACCUGCCCUUGACUUUGGGAUAACUUCAGGAAACUGGGGCUAAUACCGGAUAGGAGCUCCUGCUGCAUGGUGGGGGUUGGAAAGUUUCGGCGGUUGGGGAUGGACUCGCGGCUUAUCAGCUUGUUGGUGGGGUAGUGGCUUACCAAGGCUUUGACGGGUAGCCGGCCUGAGAGGGUGACCGGCCACAUUGGGACUGAGAUACGGCCCAGACUCCUACGGGAGGCAGCAGUGGGGAAUAUUGCACAAUGGGCGGAAGCCUGAUGCAGCAACGCCGCGUGCGGGAUGUCGGCCUUCGGGUUGUAAACCGCUUUCGCCUGUGACGAAGCGUGAGUGACGGUAAUGGGUAAAGAAGCACCGGCUAACUACGUG